rnacentral:rRNA from 1 species
UGCAGUCGAGCGGAUGAGAGAGCUUGCUCUCUGAUUCAGCGGCGGACGGGUGAGUAAUGCCUAGGAAUCUGCCUGAUAGUGGGGGACAACGUUUCGAAAGGAACGCUAAUACCGCAUACGUCCUACGGGAGAAAGCAGGGGACCUUCGGGCCUUGCGCUAUCAGAUGAGCCUAGGUCGGAUUAGCUAGUUGGUGAGGUAAUGGCUCACCAAGGCGACGAUCCGUAACUGGUCUGAGAGGAUGAUCAGUCACACUGGAACUGAGACACGGUCCAGACUCCUACGGGAGGCAGCAGUGGGGAAUAUUGGACAAUGGGCGAAAGCCUGAUCCAGCCAUGCCGCGUGUGUGAAGAAGGUCUUCGGAUUGUAAAGCACUUUAAGUUGGGAGGAAGGGCAUUAACCUAAUACGUUAGUGUUUUGACGUUACCGACAGAAUAAGCACCGGCUAACUUCGUGCCAGCAGCCGCGGUAAUACGAAGGGUGCAAGCGUUAAUCGGAAUUACUGGGCGUAAAGCGCGCGUAGGUGGUUUGUUAAGUUGAAUGUGAAAGCCCCGGGCUCAACCUGGGAACUGCAUCCAAAACUGGCAAGCUAGAGUAUGGCAGAGGGUGGUGGAAUUUCCUGUGUAGCGGUGAAAUGCGUAGAUAUAGGAAGGAACACCAGUGGCGAAGGCGACCACCUGGGCUAAUACUGACACUGAGGUGCGA